CCUACGGGAGGCUGCAGUGGGGAAUAUUGCACAAUGGGCGCAAGCCUGAUGCAGCCAUGCCGCGUGUGUGAAGAAGGCCUUCGGGUUGUAAAGCACUUUCAGCGGGGAGGAAGGCGUUAAGGUUAAUAACCUUGUCGAUUGACGUUACCCGCAGAAGAAGCACCGGCUAACUCCGUGCCAGCAGCCGCGGUAAUACGGAGGGUGCAAGCGUUAAUCGGAAUUACUGGGCGUAAAGCGCACGCAGGCGGUCUGUCAAGUCGGAUGUGAAAUCCCCGGGCUCAACCUGGGAACUGCAUUCGAAACUGGGAGGCUAGAGUCUUGUUGGGGGGGGUAGAAUUCCAAGUGUAGCGGUGAAAUGCGUAGAGAUCUGGAGGAAUACCGGUGGCGAAGGCGCCCCCCUGGACAAAGACUUACGCUCAGGUGCGAAAGCGUGGGGAGCAAACAGGAUUAGAUACCCGAGUAGUC
rnacentral:rRNA from 1 species